GAAGUAGAGAGGAGACAUUGCUGGAAUCGGUAGCAGAGGAGAUCUAGAGUUUUCCUGCUGUGAAGUCUGGAGAUCACAUGACCAUCACAUUGCCUCCACCUCCCUCCCUGAUAGGAUAGAGAAAUACAAAGAAGAUUCUAGAAGUCACCAGAGAGAUCAUCGAGGAGAGGUGGGCGGUGCCGGGAAGGACGUCACGAUGAAGAAGCGGCCUCCCCUCACAUCACCGGAUGGAUCCAGUAAUGGGAACCCACCAGAGAGAUGUCC